GGGUAGGUGGCCGAAGUUAAGGCGAUAAAUUGUAAAUUUAUUUAUGAAGCUGUUUCUCUACCCA
rnacentral:tRNA from 1 species